rnacentral:hammerhead_ribozyme from 1 species
AUCCAGCUGACGAGUUCCAAAUAGGACGAAACGUGCGUCCUUGAU